GGUGGAAUAGCUGGUGCUGGCACAGGUGCCGGUGGUGGUGUUGCUGGUGCGGGUGCAGGUACUUCCUUAGCUGGAGCUGGUGCUGGUGGUGGUGUUGCUGGAGCUGGUGCUGGAGACACUUGUGGUGGCGGUGUAGCUGGUGGUGGUAUUGGAGUGGCAGCUGGAGAACUUUGUGGUGGUUGUGGUGGUGGAACUACUGGGGUGGUAGCUGGUGCGACUUUAGGAGAUGGUGAUGAUAUAGGAGUGGUUGCAGUUGGGGGUGUCACUGCACUUGCUGGUGAUUGUGUUGGAGUGGUUGGUGUGGUUGUGGGUGGAGGUGUGGUGGUUGUAGGUGUUGAUGGCGAAACAGCUGGUGUUUGGGCAUCAGUAAUAGCUAGUGGGAAACUCAGACAUGCCAAGAUGAGAGCCCAAAGCACCGAAGCCAUUUAGUUGUGAUGAGAAUCAACAGGAAGACGUAACAUUGUUAUAUAGAGUUAUGGAAAGGCUUUUAAAUUUAGUAAAUGUUUGGUGGAAUGUUAAGAGGGAGAGAUGUUGUCUUCAUUUGAAUGCGACAUCCCUUCUAAUGAUCUGGAGUGAUGUCGUAUUCGGACAGCUCUGCAAUUGGCUGGUCCUAUCAACCAAGAUUUGGGGCCUAAAAUUGAGAAAUCUUGCUGAAGAAAAAAGAUGUACUGCUUUAAGUUUUAGCUAUAUGGAUGCAGUUAUUUGUGUUGAUAGGAUUGUCAAUGGUUGUGCUGUGUUUGAUUUUUUGCUGUGCAUUUUCAACUCAUUUAGAACCGAGCACGAAGAGUGAAGGCUCUGGAGUUUCUUUUUCUUCAAGGUGGAAUGUCGUAAUUAGGCAAUAUGUGUUUGCUUUUUACUAGAAUCUUGAAACUAACAAAAACUUGAAUCACGAGUUUAUAUUUUAUGAUCAUAAUUUCCGCAAUCAUCGAUAUGUUGUGGUAAAUAUGGCAAAAUGGCUGGACAAGUGAUGGAGUGAAAUGAGAGGGAGGCAAUGCAGCCGGCAAUCCGGGCUAACCUUUCACCUACUCAGCAGAGACCACGAUGUCGAUCCUAACACAACCUAAACAUUGGUAAGCAGUCCCUGUCCGAUUUAAGGAAAGAAAGGUCAGGUUCCCUUUUCUUCCUUUCUUUUUUUGUUGGUGUUUAAUAUUAUAGUGCAUGGUAUUUUAAAAAAAAUAUUUUUAACUUGAAAAUAUACUAAAAUUAUUUUUUUCCAGAUUUUUAUUUUUAAUAUCAUCAAAACCAUUGGAAAAUACAAAAAAUAUCAAUUUAAUAUUUUUUAAAAUUAAGUACAUCCAAAUACAAUUUCAAAUACGGAAACAAAUUGUGCCUACUCAGUUAAGGACUUUUGUUAGUUCACGGAGCACUCUCCGAUCGAGUUUGGAAAGUCGUAAUCAAAUGCAUAAUGCCCAACGCAGGAGCUGAUAAUUGUCAUACCCACAAGUUCAGGCUUGAGACCAUCUGUUGCCAGAUUCUAACCACCCACAAUUGGGAAAGCAAAUUGUAUCAAAUUAUCAACUUUCAUAACUUGGGGCUGUUCUGCCAACCUGACGAUAUCCACCAGUCUCUGCCAACGAAACCCCCCCCCCCCUUUUUUUUUUUUUUUCCACAACGGACAUACAAAAUUUCUGCAGUUACAAUUACAGAUUAUAACUCAAAAGGGUUUACACUUUACAGUGGUUUGCCACAGCUGAUCUAUGACAAUUGCUACCGCAGGCCCACAUGGAAUCAAGAUAUCUGGGCCCUGAGGACUGAUAUCUGUGACUAUUUUCAAUGAUAUGAUUAUCUCUCAAUGUUAAUAAAAGGUUUUAUUCCCAAGUCAUUUUUCACCUUUAGACGUGGCGAUUUGAAGUUUGUUGGAUUUCAUAUUCUCAUAAAGACACCGAAUAUAUAUUCAAUUGGAUUGAAAGAUAAUACAGUUUCCAGAACGUUUUUUAUUAACUUACUUGAUGGUGUUCUACCAUCUCUUACAAACAGAACAUGGCAUGGAAGAUAUCUUGCAUCUUACCGAGGAUUUUAGAUUGUGGGUUUGUUAUGGGAAGACAUGAAGGUUGAGGAGGGGAAUCUUCUUUCUUCUCCUUUUUCCUUCUCCUAAGCUGGAAAAAUUGCUGCAUUACAUCUGCACACUCCAAUUCCAAUAUUCCUCGCCGGAUUGCCAUCUUUGGAUGGAAAGGAUGGACUGGAGCGGCUGGCUUAUCUGCCAGUUCUGAGCCAUUUCCAUCUCGUCCAUCAGGAAAAAGCCUGCAAGGAUUGUCACACAGGAAACUUUUGGGAAUCAUAAGCCUCGGAAAUUUCUGUUAUGAGUCGGCUGAAUGCCUGAUCAACUUGAAUCUAACUAGCGUGUGAAUGGUGGUUUGUUCUAUCCUCUAUACCACCAACCACCCCCCCCCCCCCAAUUCUAGCAGGGAUUUACUUUGUGGUGACUGGAACAAGCAGAGAUUCAUGUAAUACCAGCAGCCAUUUCAGAUAAUGGCUAUGGAAACCAAUUUAUCAUUUUCUUCCCAAUAAAAAAAAUAUAAUAAGAAAUAAAUGACUGAUUUAAUAAAUGUGCUCUAUUAAUUAUGUUUUGAUCCACGGAUGCAUUGGGAGCACUAUGAACAUUGAUGACAGAAACAGGAUAGGGGAACAAUUCAAAAGGAAGAAAAUGUGCCAAGUGUAUCUAAGUCUAAUUAUAUUGUAAUGGCAAGGCAAUGUUAACCCUUUCCCAUUGGGACAUAAUGUAUGGUCAGAUCACUUUAAUAACCAUUAACCAGUCUCAGCAUGGACGGACCAAAUAAGGCAUUUCUGUUUUGAAACGAAUUUGGCACUCAUAAUUUUUAUCAAGUAAAACACUUUAAGAACAAGGCUUUGAUUCUUCAUAAAUAAUAGUCAGAUGUACAAAAGACCAGUCUCCCAUUUCAAUGAGAUUUCAAGGAAGAUGAGCUUACCUAAUCCAGCUUCCAUCAGCUCCAAGAAGCUUAUUGGGAGCUCCCCAUACAAGAGUAUUUAUUCUUGCUUGAAGUAUUGCUCCAGCACACAUAGGACAUGGUUCAAGUGUUACAUAAAGAGUAGUCUCCUGCAAAUCAAAUCAUUAAGCCCUCGCUGUGAAUAUCAGCAGAGUUAGAACAGUUCCUUGAAAAGUGAUUUCCACUUUGAAAGUCAGCUUUCAUUUGAUAAGAUAUAAUUUUCUUAGUAUCUUUUCCUUUCGUAUGUAAAACUUAGUCAUUGAAGAGGUUAAAACAGUUUGAUAAUGACUAAACUAGUUAAGAGUGAAUGCAUUAAUUAAUAAUUAUAGUUUCUUUAUGACAUUGAUUAUUUCAAAAGAAUCGAGGGAGUAAAUAAAAGCUUUCAAAACAAAGAGAAAGUACCGAAAGCCUCCAUGACCGGAGUUGAUUUGAUGCCUCCCUAAUGCAAAUCAUUUCUGCAUGGGCGGUGGAGUCUCGUAACUCCUCCACUCUGAAAUAUAAAUCUCCACAUAAAACCCCAAAAUAAAGAAGCACAAUAUAAGGUUUUAAUCACAAGUGCAUACAACUUACAGGUUGUAGCCACGAGCAAUAAUCUUCCCAUGAUGCACCAUCACGGCCCCAACAGGCACCUCCCAAGAAUCGGCAGCCUUCUUGGCGUCUAGCAGGGCUUCCCUCAUAAACAUUUCAUCAAUUUUCCGCUGCUCACUUUCACAUAAAUAAGCCUCUUCCCAUUCAUUGAAUCUGUCUCUCCCAACUUGCUCAUUUCGUUGAAGCUUCCUUUGUUUCAACUCCACACCCUUCCCCUCAGAGCCUGCUACUUCAAUUAACUUUUCACUAUCAGGUCGCUCCAUAAGCUCCAUUGAGCCACUAACAGAAAUAUUAUUUUUAGCAGCACCAAAACUUUCUUCCACAAUGGGACCACUUGUGCUAGAAGGCGGCGAUAAAACUAGUGAUGAUUCCCCUACUUCCAUGCUAGAUGUAGCAACUUGAGAAUUGUUCCUAUCUUGACUACAACCAAGGUUUUCCUCUUCAGAAGGUGAGGAAAUACCUUUUGACGUGAACCCAAUUUUUAAUGUAAUUGAAGGAGAUGAAGUGUCUCCUUCAAGCGGUCUUAUUACGUUCUUUGAUCCAAAUGUGUCAGAUGCUUUUACCUCAUCUGGACUAGAAGUCUGUGUUAGUUGCAGCUGGUGAGAAGAGGCAGCUUCCUUAGGCAUACUUUUUCUUUCCCUUUUCAGAUUCUUAUCACUGAUUUCAUCAGGUUCAUGGCCAGAAAACCAUGCUUCACUAGUAACAGAAUCAUUUGACAAACUCUUUCCACCUGAUCUUCGAGUUGAUUUAGGGGUUUCAGCAUGUGAACCCCAGCGCAGUCGUACUAUAUUUGAGAUGAUAUUCCACAUGGACCUUCCAGUUCUCCUAACAACAAUACUCUUGAUUGCUGUGCUACCUGCUGGUGCUUCUGUCUCUGGAGGUUCCUGAACAGACGGGUUUGUUACAUUCCACAUUUCAUCUGAAGGACCCUUCUCUCCAGAGUCCCCAGAUGAUUGCAUUGAGUCCUGCCUCUUCAACUGUAAGUCUUUAGUAUCAUAUUGACUUGAACUCUUUCGCCUCUGCUUCUCAACUUCAUAUGCCAACUUUGUAUCAGAAACUGUCUUCUCCUUUUGGAUUUCAGAAGUUGACACUUCAUGCCUAGCUUUCUCAACAAACUCUCCAACAAACUGCAUUGAUGACGCCUCUAAACGAUGAGCUGAACCAAGAGCAUCUUCAGUCAAGGUAAGAUUUGAAGCCUCCCCAUAUAUCUCAUCUUUCUUAUUUCCACCAUAUUUUUCCUGCUGGAAAACUGCAGUUCUCCUUCCAGAAUUUCUAUACAGAGUACUAGAGCCACAUUCCAAAGAUUCUCUGGAAUCCUCUUGAUUUGCGAUCCCACCAGAUGAAUUAAUAUGAAAUGAACCUCGAUCUAACAAUUGAGGUGAGGGAAGCAUCGUUAUUGUCUGUGAUGUUCUUUCAUUCCCCUCCCCCACAUCAACCUGUUGAAUUCCAACUUUGGAAACCAUAUUUGCAGAUGCUUGAGAAUCAAAGGCCUCCUGUGAAGUUGUUUCAUGAAGCCUUAAUUUGUUAGUAGCCCUACAAACCUCACUUGAAGAUUUGGACUGAGUGAGAUUUUGCUCAAUUUUAUCGUCUCUCUCCCUUGUCUCGCAAAUGGCUUUCACAGCUGAUGUCAAUUCAUUUUCUUGAUCAAAAACUCUCUUUCCAGAAGUUCUGCCAAAAUUGGUGACCAUUGUCAUAUCGCUUGCAUGGACCAGUGACACAUUGGUGAAAUCCAGAGAUAUAUUGGUGGCAUCUCCAGAUACCUUGCUGGAUUCAGUUCCCUGAAGAGCUUUUUGAUCUGUGUGCGACUGGUGCUCUUUUGCUUCGGUACCUGAUCUAGAAACAACACUUUUACUUACCUCCUGCUGCUUCAUUCUAGUUUCUGAUAGUAGAAUCGAAGUCUUUUUGUUACUACUGUCAUGAACUUCUGAUAUUUUAGAUAACUGUUGUGAACUUCUUCUUGACUGAACCUGUCCACUUGUCUGCCCACCCAUUUGGAAUUUUUGCUCAUUUGUCUCAUAAAAUGAUCCUAGAGCUCUAUCUUCUACCAGAAUCUUCAUUCUAGACUCAGAUUGCCUCUGCAAAUUUGAAACUCUUUCAGUACUGGCAUUCUCAGUUGUUGAUGUGUCAAUGAGUUGGUGAGUGGCUCUUCUUAUAUUGUUUUUUGCAGCAGUUUCACCAACUCUUUUAUAACGUUCAUCCCUUCCUUCCCAAACCAAAUUUGCAUCCACUAGAUUUUCUUCUCUACCACUGAACCGCUUCUGGGAUUGGGAAGCUUUUUCAACAUUUAUUCCACUCCUCUCCUGUUUAUUGGUAAUUUCCUGGUAACUUCUUCUGAAUUCAGAUUGCUCUUUGACUUGAUCCCCCAUCUGACAAUAUCGCUUUCUUGUUUCUUUCUCCAAAUUAACCGCCAAACUUUUCUCAUCCUCAUUGCCAAUCUGGUUAUGAGAACUUGAUACCUUCCUGUAAUCACUUUCAUGGUUUCUCGCCAUUCUUGAUUGCAUUUGUGAGGAUUCUCUUUCUGAUUGUGUUUCUUCAAUCUCAGUAAGUUUCUUCUCAGAUUUCUUCCUCGGAUCCCACUCAACACCAGUCCUUCUUGCACUAGUUCUCGCUUCCAGAACCUCCCCCUUCCACUCUGUGCCAUCUCUAUGCCUCCUAAACUCUUCCACAACUUGCCCCUCUGAUCUACCCUCUCCACUUCUUAAUUCCUUCCUGUAUCCACUUGAUGAUUCUUUGGGACAAUCAACAUAUUCAUCCAGAGAUUCCGUGUCACUCUCAAUAUCUCCUGCAGAAGAAAGUGAAUAAAAUGACGAAAAACUAGAGCUCACUCUCCUUCCCCUGUGAUUCUCCCCUUUUGAAACCGCUUUCUUUUCUUCCUUUUCUUUCUGGUCUUCCAUCUCUUCCUUCCUCAACUCAACUUUAGCUGACUCAAAUUCACAUUUUGCAUCACCCUCCAAUGAACUGAGCCCAACAUUCUUCUUCCUCCUCCUCCCCUUGCGAGUUCCGCCACUGUGAUUCCCCCUCUUCACCAUUUCCACUCUCUUCGACAAACCCCAAUAUCUCUCCCCGUCACCUAAACACUGUCCACUCACUUCCUCGCUCAACAAACUAAUCACAGUCUCUGCAUCAUUAACCCCACUAAAACAUCGCCUUCCGCGCAAUCUUACCCCCCCAAUCCCUCCCUUCCUUCUCCUAAGAAUUUUCUCACUCCCAUUAUUCUCCUUAAAACAACAACCAUGAUCAACACCAUAAUCCGGGACGCGGUAAUAAUCCCUACCCAUCCCACCCAAGAUCAACCUUCUAGAAGCUGAACAUUGAAUAAGACUAGCUUGCCUCAACCCAAAAAAAAAACCUGGGUUUAUUGGCACUCUAUGUAAAGUAGCAGUAGUAGUGAAUGAUGACGAUGCACAACAAGAACAAGAAAAGCAACAACAAGAACCACAUGAUGAAGAACAAGAUUGUAAUAAAAAUGGGUUUCCUUCAUUUAAUGAGUUAGAGUAUUCAUUGAAAGAAAAUGAAAGUGGCCCUUUCGUUCCAAGAGACAAAGAAGCUAAGCUAAUGUAAGUGUUGGGCAUCUUUUCUUUUCCAAUGUUAUAGAGAGAGGCUUACCUUAAUGGAUUUUGUGGAGUUUUUUAAGCUGAAACUGGGAGUGAAACCAUGUGAGGUGUUCUGUUUUGGAACUGGUUUCAUGAUUUCUACUUUCGGUUGAGAGAGAGCUAGUGAUUUUGAAUCCGAUGAGUUGACUCUCUCUGGGUUGGCUUAACUCGGUCGCCUAUACAGAGUGAAACAAACUGGGCUGCUGGCUUUUCAUGUGGUUGCACUUAACCAAACACUACUGGGCCUUCAAUGUAAUACUAAUUGGGCUCUGAUCUAAAAUUGUCUUCUUAAGAAGUCCAAUCCAUCCAGCCCACUAUAAAGACUGAGUUUUUGUGCUUUUACUUGCCGAAUUAAAGUCUCUUUUAUUAACUAGUAAUCAUUAUUGAUCGGCGCUAUUCCGGGUCAAUUUAAAAUUUUAUUAAUAUAUAAAAAAAAUAUUUAUUGUUAAUAUUUUUCUAGUAUAAAAAAAUUAACUGUGUGGAGGUUAAUUUGAUAUAUCCUGAUCACCUUGAUGGAUCUAAAAACAAUCGAAACAACGUAAAAAUAUAGUUUGAUUCAUAAAAAAUCAAGAAAAUAUUUUUAAAAAAAUAAUAUUGAAAUAAAAAUAUAUUGGAUCAAUCCGGGUCAACCCGAGUUAACCCCAUAUAAAGCAAAUCAAAAUAAAUUAUGAAAUUUAAUUCUCAAUCAACCCAAUGUUGAAGAAUGAAAUUGAAAAAAACUAAUAAAAAAAUAAUUGAAUUAACCUAUCAAACUCGUGACCCGGAUUAUGAGAUUAUGAUAACCUUAUAAAAAGUAAACAAAAAAAUGAUAUAGGUCAAUUUAGAUUAAUUUUUCAAACUCGCAACUAAAGUCAUGAGACUCGAAUAACUCCAUAAAAAGUAAAUCAAAAUAAAUUAUGAAUCUCGGUUUUUAAUAAAUCUAAUAUCAAAGGUUAAAAAUGAAAAAAAAACAAUUUAAAAACAUAACACGAUAAAACAACGUGAGUUGCAUGGGAUAACCCGCAAAACAUAUUACCUGAAUCAUAAGAUCAAGAUAACCUUAUAGAAAGCAAACUAAAAUAAAACAUAAAGUCUAAUUCAUAAUCAACCUAAUAUUAAAAGAUGAAAUAGAAAAAAAAUAUCAAUUAAAAAAUAUAAAAAAAAUACUCGAGUCAACUAGAUUAACUCGUCAAACUCAUGACUUAAGUCAUGAGACCGAUAUAACCUUGUAGAAAAUAAACCAAGAUAAAUCAUGAAGCCUAACAUCCAAUCAACUCAAUGAUAAAUGAUUAAAUUGAAGAAAAAUAUCAAUUAAAAAACAAAACUCGAGUCAACCCGUCAAACUCGUGACACGGGUUAUGAAACCAAGCUAACAACGUAUAAAGCAAACCAAAAUAAAUUGUGAAGCAUAAUCUUUAAUAAACUAAAUAUUAAAGUAUGGAAUUAGAAAGAAAAAUAGAUUUAGAAAGAAAAAAAAACUAUUAAAAUGAAUAGUAUUUUAUAAUACAGUGUAUAAUAAAUACACAAUCUCUCUUAAUUUAUACUAUAUUAAUUUUAUAUAAGUUAGAAAAAGUUUAUAAUACUCCAGGAUUAACUAACGAUGGCUACACUAUCAAUCCUCCUUAAAGAUACAGACAAGUAAAUAAACAAAAGAGAUAUGUUUAUUAAAAAAUUAUUUAUUAAAAUAUUUAUUUAGAGUUUAAUUGGAGAUGAUAAUGUAAAAAGAAACUCACUUAUGAAAUGAAUCAACAUCCAAUUAUGAAAAGUUAUGCUGCUUGCAAAAUAAAUUACAAGAUUGUGUACGUACUCUUGUUAUUUUAAUUAUACAUGGGAUUUAGAUAAUAAUAUCAUUUAGAGGAUAAAAAUAAUGAUUUUGAUGAUUUAUCGUAGUAGUAGAUUAAUACUAUACAUGUGUUACGAGAAUAUACUCGAUGAUGUUUUCUUAAGAUAAAAACAUAAAAUCUCAAUGGCUUUUAAUUUUUUUUAUUUUAAAUUAAUAUGUUUUUAAAUUAUUUAAUAUACUCGAUGAUGUUUUCUUAAGAUAAAAACAUAAAAUCUCAAUGGCUUUUAAUUUUUUUUAUUUUAAAUUUAAUGUUUUUAAAUUAUUUUGAUAUAUUGAUAUAAAAAAUAACUUUUUAAAAGUAAAAAAUAUUAUUUUAAUAUGUAUUUUAAUAUAUUUUAAAAUAAAAAAUACUUUAAAAAACAACUACAAUCAUAUUUCUAAAUUUUAACAACGGAACUGUUUUUUUAAAAAAUAUAGUCCUGUACAGUACUGGCAAUCUAGAUAUAAAUUAAAUAAAUAUUUAAUCGAUUGAUUAUUCAUCACUGGAUACCUAAUUUCUCUGUGCCUAAUAAAAAGUCAGCAAUUCUGUUUGAUAACUUCAAAUCAAGCAUGGUGCCGGCCGGCCCGUGGAAAAAAUCAUGCAUGGUGGCUAUGGCUAACAAGCACCUUCAAAGUAGAUUCUCUCUUAAAUCCCAAUUCAGAGCACUCACAAUUGACAUAAUUCAUUAAUUAUUAUUCAUUUGUCCGUGGAAACGCAGUAUACGUUGCCAAAAAAGACUCAGUUUAUCAUUUUUUAAUUAAGAUGAUCAGCUAGUGGCAACCCUUUAUUCUGGUGAUUAUGUUUUGAUUUUGUAGAUUGAUUAAACUCUUGACUUGGACAAAAGUUAUGGAUAUAUUUGGUUAUAAACAAUGUUUAGCUUAUUUUAAAAAUCAUUAUAAAAUUAAAUUAAAACUCUACUUUAAUAUUAGUUCUCAAUCUUAACUUGUACUAUUUUUCUUUAGCCAAAUAGACGUUUCGAGUCAAAAAGAUUCAUCAACCAUGUUUUUAACUUGAUUAUUUAUAAGUUAUUCAUAAAAAAUAAUUAAAUAAAUAAUAUUAAUUCGCGAUUAGAAUCAUAACAAUUGAAAAAAAUACGAGACUAAAUUAAAACCUCAGUAAACCUAAAUGAUGAAAUUGCUGUUAAUGGCAGUGUACACUUGUCGGAACUUAGCUGUGUUGCGCAUAAAAUAUUAAUUUAAACAUCUCUAAAUUGAGAGCUGUUGCAGCUGUUCUUCUUUUUCCGCACGGUCCUCUUCAUUAAGGCACAUCUUAAGGUCUCAGCUAAUCUCUUAUAUUCGUCAAAAGAAGAUUAAUUAGCUCCUACAAUUAAUUAAUGAAGCCCUGGCAUAAAUAACAUGUAUUUUUCUUUUUAGUACAAAGACAUGAAUUUCACGUGGCACAAAUAGUUUUACGACACAUCAGUCAACAUGCUUUUUUUUAUUAAGAAAUCAAAAGGCAGACUCGAACCUGUAUGCAUGCAUGCAUGCAUGUAUGUAUGUAUGAGUGAGUGAGUAACAACAACAUUAUUAAUGAUAGUAUAAAUUAAGUAGAUAUACUAUUUGAAUGAUAAAAUCAAUUAAUCCAAGGAUCAGGGGGUUACAAUGGCUUGAAAUCUCAGGCGUUGACGCGUUCGUAUGAAUAAUUGAGUACAGGUCCUCAAAAUUCUUCAGUCCUCUUCGACGUCUUCAUUAUUCCUUGGCCAGCAUUACGUAUAGUAAUAAAACUCAUAAUAUACAGAACCCUCACACACACAUAAUGUAUAUAAAAUCUCCUGGGAGGGCAUGUGUAAGUCUUGGUGGCUAAACUGGCUGGAUCUUUCUGUAUUUGUUGCUUUUGAUUAAUGAAGAAUUCUAGUUUAUCUAUAAAAAAAGACUAACUGUAGAAGCUCUGGGCCUGAAAUGUUUUAAUAUACACUCCAACUUGUUGGACGAACGCGUUUCAGGAUGCCUCCCAUUCCAAUUUUGAUUCUUUUAUUUUUGUAAAAAACAAGAGGUUUUUUAUUGGGAUAAUAAUCACAGCUAUAUAUAUAUAUAUAUAUAUAUAUAUAUAUAUAUAUAUAUAUAUAUAUAUAUAUAUAUAUAUUCACACACACACGUUCUGAUGUUUUGUAUUUUGAAAUUAACCUCAAUCAUGAUCGAUGAAAGCAAGAUCAGUUUAAUUUUCCUUAGCAACUGCCGCGCGCAUCAGCUGGAAUAUUUGUGAUUGGGAUUUUAUCUCUGAUGUAUUGGAGAUUAUUAGAGAAUAAUAAAGAUUAUGUAUUUGAAUUUUAUUUAAUAAUUUAAGUAUUUAGAUUGAAUUAGUUUUUGAUAUGAUAUAAAAUUUCUAUUUAAGUUUUUAAAUUAAAUUUUACUUCAAAAGAAAAGAAAUAAAAAUGAGGAGGAGGAACUUAACUCAUCUGAACGAAGUCCCCCGCCAUGAUCAGUAGCCUUUGGCGGGUGUCAUUUGAUGUUGAAAGCGGCUUCAUUCAUGUGAAAUUCCUUUCACCAACUUUCAUGUGGUGGUAUUAAACAUUAGUAUUAUCUACGACUACUAGUAAUAGGCAACGUCGUGGAGAAAGAUUGACAAAGAAGUGAGCCCUUUUCACUGUUAAAUCAUCCAAUAUAAAGUAUUCCUUGUUGUGUUUAAGUUGAAAUUGGUGUGAUAUUGUUGGUUUUUCUUAGCUCUGUGACGCUAUGGCUUUGAUAAAUUUACCCUAAAUAUUGAUACCCCCUUCAUUGCCUUGCAGGGAUAUUAAUUAAACCAGAAAAAAAACACACCUUAUAUGCACCCACGAUCCAGUGACGAAGCUAUAAUUUUAAUAGAAGGUGACAAUAGUCGCGAAGGGAGAAAGAAUAAUCCAUCACUAUAGUUUUUUUUAAUGAUAAUAUUCCAUUAAUAUUUCCAGAGAUAUAUAGUAUUAUUUAAAAUAAAUAAGUAGCAACAAAACAACAUUGUGGUCAACAGUAUCAUUAAUAGAAAAUAUAUAUAUAUAUCAAACAUUCCCAAAACAAUUUUUAUAAAUUAUAAAAAUCAUUUUAAAGCUCCAUUACACAAUCGAUAGGUUUCUAAUUGACAAUUAGCGAUCUUUCUCAAUUGCAUAAAGUAUAAAUAUAAAAGUAAGAACGAAAUAUUCCAAAAAUCAUUGAAUACAUUAAUUUACCAGUUAUACACCAUUAAUUCUUGUUAAUUUUCAUUUGAUAACGAAAUAUAUUUAAAGAAAAUUUGGCUGAUUGAUAUUCUCAAGAUGCAUGAAACUAAGUCAUUGGUCACGAGUUCACCGAGUCAAUAUAUAAAUAAAAAUUAUUAUUAGUAUAAUUUUAAAAUUCAACUCGAGAUAAGGUUCAAAUCAUGAAUUGGAUGAAUCAUCCCAGCUGAUCCAAAUUUAAUUUUAAGAGUAAUCAAAACAAAAUUAUUUUAACUAAAAAUAAUUUUUAAAAAAAUUAAUAAUUUUUUUAUUGGUUCAAGCAUGGUCAAUCAUUUCUCUAUUUCUUCUUAAACUCUAUAUAUUAAUGGUAAAAUAUAAUUUUUUUAUAUUUUAUUUUGUUUUGUUUACAAUAUCUAAACAUGAUAUAAAAAUAAUUAUUUUAUUAUGUACAUUAUUAUCAAAUAUAUUUUUAUAUAUUUUUUUUAUCUUAUCUCUAUUGUUUUUAUAUUGUUUUCGUAUUUUAUGUCCUGUGCCAAACGCUUCCAUAAUAUACCACAUGCUUGCCAGAUAAAAAGCCCCAAGGCACCACUGCCGAACACCUGGGAUCAGGGCGGCGAUGGCUAGACUUCUUAUUUGUCUGUCAUAUAUUUCGUUGCCCCAGACUCGGAUAAUGUUAGUCCUUUUAAAAGAGCCAUAGAAAUGGGUUGUGCAUGGAUCCAUGUUAGUAGCGGUGAUUAUUUUUUGUUCGGUUUGGUUUUUAUUAAAAAAAAUAAUUAAAUCAAAACUGGUUCAAACCGACCAGUUUCGGUUCAGUUUUUUAGGACAAAAACCGGUUCAAACUGGUUUGGCUCGGUUUUUCUGAUUUGGCUCAGUUUUUCCGGUUUGGCUCAGUUCGGUUUUUUCGGUUUCGGGCUUAUAAAACCAAAACCGAACCGAUCGGCUUUUUCAAAAUUUUAAUCGGUUUUUUUUACGGUUCGGUUUUUUCAAUUAUUUUUUUUUAGUUUUCUCGAUUUAAUUGAUUUUUCAGGUUUUUUACUUAUCCCUGAAUAUUAGCACCAUAUACAUUCGAAUAAUUGAUUGAUAAAUACAUAGUCCCUUUUAAUCAUUGCAUUUUUUAUUUUCAGGCUCGUCGUUGUCUUUCUAGAUAAUUCUGUCAGGCUCCCAAAUGAGACGGUAAUCUAAUAUAUUUCCCAGAAACUGUUGUCACAGUACUCCAAUGACCAUACGAGCACAAUUUCUAUGUAGAGUUUUGUACGUCGUACAUGACAAUCUAGAAUAGUUGACUAGUCCAAGUUUGAUGACAAGUCAAGGUCCAAGGAUGAAGAUAACCUUUCUUCCAGUUAACUAUCAACACGUUCAAUAUAGACGCUUAACGACGACCAUUUCAAAAAACAUGUAUGGACUUCUUCAUGUGAACAAAAAAAUGGCAUGAUUUGGUAUCUAUUCAACAAACUAAUUAAUUCGCCCCGGAUAAUUAUAGCACAGAAAGGUUUUAGCUUGAGUGAUGUAAAUCCAAAAGGAUCGAAGGACCAAGUCAUGAAUCAGUGAUGAAUUUAGAUUUAACAACAAAAAAUCUUUAUAGAUGAUGAAAUUGGGUCUUAGUUUAUAGUAUAAUAUAUGCUAAGCUCAGUUAUGUGUUUCGUUGCCAGCCGGAUCAAAAUCCAUGUUGCUAUCGUUUCAACCUAUACUUAACCCUAACUCAAAUGUAAAAUAAUAAAUUUGUCAAAUCAUAAAAUAGCAAAAAAUCCAAGAAGUGAAAUGAAAAUAUAGCAACACAUUGAAUUGCUCCGUGUUAACUUGUGAAAUUGACAACUCAAGUAAUGAACACAAUCAUAGUGACUUAACCCGAUUAGCCAACCUUCCUCUUUUUUUUCCUACCCUAUCCUUUUCAUGGUUAGGCUUUGAUCGAAUCUCAAUUGACCUUAGGUUCGAUUAAAGAAUGAAGACAAAGUAUAAGAAAUAGAUAAAUGAUGAACUCAAAAAAUAUUAGCUUAAAAAAAGAAGGAAAAAAGCAAAAUCAAACGAAUCUCCUAAACUUUGAUUAAUCUUCUAAACUCGCAACUCAUGAAAUCUUAAGACCAAGUUCAAUAAAAAAACUCAAUUCCUAAUUAAUUUAAUGUUGGAAGAUGAAAUGGUAAAGACAAAUAAAAAAAUGUCAAGGUAAAAGAAAUUGCAAUAAAAAGAACGAGAAUAAAAUCAAUUAGAAAAAAAUUGGAGGAUGAAGUUAUUAAAAAACUUUAAUUCUAAAAUAUGUAAAAUAAAUAGCAAUAAAGGGAAUGAGUAUCAAUUUUAACAGAUAAAAAAAACAAAAAAGAAUGAAAUUGAAAAAAUAAAUAAAAAGUUGAAGGAUGAAAUUAAAAAAACACUAGCUUAAAAAGAGGGAGGGGGGAACCAAGCAAAUCAGGGCGCAUUCUCUAAACCUCGAUUAACCUUUCAAGUUUGCAACUUGUGGAAUCUUAAACCUUGGUUCCAAUCAGGAAAUUCAAUUCCUAAUCAAUUUAAUGUUGGAGAAUGAAAUUAUAAAAAAAAAAAUUGCCAAAGCAAAAGGAAUUUCAAUAAAAAGAAUAAGGAUUAAAUCAUAUAAGAAAAGUUUUUUGAAAGGGGGUGGAAUUGUAAGGAAAAGCUUUAAUUCUACAAAUUAUCUAAAACAAAACAAAUAGCAAUUAAGAAAAAGAGGACCAAAUCUGACAUAAAAAAUUAAAGAAAAAUGAAAUUUAACAGAAAAUAUAAUUAUAUAAACCAUCUAAAAAAAUAGUGAUAAAAAAACAAGGAUUAAGUCUUAAUGAAAAAUAAAUUGAAGGGUUACUUGAAAAAUCUAGAGUGACGUGUGAAAGUCGAGGUGAAAAGAAAAAAAAAAGAAAAAAAAAGUUUAUCGGUAUCAAAUUAGAGGUCAGAAUGCCACACAUUGUCGUGAGAGGAAGAGAUUGUCAAGACGAUUCCAACUACACUAAAGAAGUCCAUCAUUGAUUGUUAAACAUUAUUGCAUGUGUAAUUUGAAGGCGAUAAAGCAUUUGAUGCGUGUGCUAGCUAGCUUUCAAUUUUUAUUAUCAUUUUAUAUUUAUUAAAGGACUAAAUUGCCAUGUAAACAUAAUUAUAACAUAAAAACCAGGUUAGAAAAUGAAAUAACCCUGGAAAUCAAUUUAUUAGUUUUUGCUUUCAAAGGGUAUUUUUAUCAUGGUAUUAUGCUAACUAGAAGAAAAGAGAUGAGAAUGGCCUUUGAUGACGGUUUAUUAUUAUUUUUUGUUUUUUAAUGGUAAUUUAGAAUUGCAUUGUUAAAAAAACAAAAAAAGGAAAAAAAUCGAGUUGUUCCUAUUGAAUUUUGUAAUAACUAACUAUUAUGUCAAAAGAUCAAAUUAAAAAAAAAAUUACACAGUACAUAAUGAUGACAAAAAUGUUUUAGCCUUCCGUUUCGUUUUAGUUUUUUUUUAUUAUUAUUCCAUGAACAAUUGCAAACUAUUUCCCUCCCGGGCUUGAUAAAAUUAUGUAAAAUGACGUAGGUGUUAGCUCGGUAAUCGUCCACUUAGUUAAUUUCCAUGCCCAACAUGUUUAAUUGGAAUUAGUGAUUCGGUCACCGUCCACUUGGUUAAUUUCCAUGUCCAACACAGUGAUCAUUAGGUUCUCCGUUCCUUCAAUUCAUUGUCUGAUGUCUACUGAUUUUUUUUUAUUAUUAAUAUAAGUAUUCGGAUUAAUUUGCGUGUACUUCGAUUAAUCCCACGGAUCCUGAAAUUAACGACCAUGUAAGCUUCCAGUAGCCCUGAGAUUUAUGGGACUCGAACUAGUAUUUUUUCAGGAACAAACCUAGAACUUGAUUAGUUGAGCUACACCCCUCAGAUUAUCUACUGAAAUUUUUAAAUAAACAAGAAUACACUGUGAUUUUGCUGUGUCUUUAAUUUCAUUGAUCAUUAUCAUUAUCAUUUAUGAACGGGCCAAAUCCUUGGGAAGGGAAAACUGAUAAUAUGGUAUUGUUUGAAGAAAUAAUUUAUCUACAAAUGGGUCAAUUUUUAUUAUAAAAUACAUCCACAUAUAUAUAAUUUGAAUAAAGAGUCUUUUAUCCAACUCAAACAAAUAUUCUACCUGAUGCUGAAAUCGUUUUAAUAUUUUUAUGGAGUGAAUGAUUUAUUCCAUCUUAUAUAUGAACUUGUAGAACAAUUUAAGGGCUUUGACCGUAUAAAUACAAAUAAAAUUAAUUUUUAAAAAAAUCAAGGACCAGAAUAUAUACAAUUCUGUCAUCCACAUUGGUGGACCUAAUUAAACAAAAAUUCGUCCAACAUUUGGAAUGAAACCUUACAAGAAUAUUAUUCAAAUCCGAGGGCUGCUGCUGCUGUUCUCCCUUGUCUCUUCUAAGACCCACCGUUGUACAUAGACGAAUCAUAUGGAGUGCACAGAUUAAUUGAUUGAUUCCAGUUAUUUACCAUUAGGCAAAGCCAAGAGCUACGUGACUGCGAACAAGAUGGAGUAAUGCAGAAGAGUAAGAUUUGAGCUAUUUGGUAAUUUACGAGUGGUCAAGUCAUUUUCGUAAUCCUGGAAAAUAGAGGGUAAAUCCCACCUAUAUAUUACGAAUGGUCACAAUUAUUUUAUUUUCAUAAAUAGUAGCCUCAUUUAUUUGUUUUUUUAAUCACUAAAUCCAAUGAGAUUGAAUUCUAUGACAAGAGCAGCCUUCACCAUUCCUAAACCCCACCUCCAUCCACUGAACUUAAAACUUUCCAUUGAAAACCCUAAAUCUUAAUUACCUUCAGGGAUGUUGCUCGAGGAUCUGACAACAACCCUAGAUCACGAGCAAUCCAAAAUUACUAUCAUGAUUUUUUACCGUGUUUGAAAUUGCAGUAAUAGUUGUUUUAAAAUAAUAUUUUUAUUAUUUUUAAAAUUUAUUUUUAAUACUAGCAAAUCAAAAUAUUUAAAAAACAUUAAAAAAAUAAUUUAAAAAAAAUCAAAAUUCUAACGAACAACAUUUUAACAACAAUGCCAAACAAACUUUUCACCUCGCAAGGGAAUCGUCUUUUCGUGCGAGAGACAAUUAAAUUGGCAUGAUACGGACAUGGAAGCAUGCACAUUCCUAGUAUCAGUUAUCAGAACAUGAUCUACGAGGAUAUGCAAAUACGCUUGUAGAGUAAAUGACAAGGCAAUGUUUCUUUCUUUCAUGGACUGCCCGUCCCAAGCGCCAAUGACUUGGAGCCCCUCUCAGCUUCUCCCUCCCUCGUUCAGAUUAUGGACACCAUUGGAUUUGCUUGGUGAGGCACUAUACUUGCUCCUUCAUUUCCUCUAACUUAAAACUGGUGUCAAGACUCGACAUGUUCUUAAUUUCCCAUCGAAGAAAAAACUCUGCUGUUACAAGAAUGGUCUUCUAUCCAGACGUCCUAGCCAAGGGGACGACGUCUACCUUUCCUUGGUUGUAAACAAUACAAGAACGAUGGGUAAUUUGAAGAUCUUAGAUCAACCCUGUCAUGGGCUCCACGCCUUUCAUUUCAAGUGGCAUUCUAGAAGAUCAGAUAGAAAUUAACAUAUUUUGAAAUUAUAACACAGAGGUUGAAUUAUAGAACUUGGUAGCUUUUUAAUUUAUUUAUAAUAAUGUAAACUACAGUUCUGAUUCCGUUCAAUAUUGAUUUUUCUUUUAAACUUUGUCAUGCAUUUAUAUUGAACUUGUUUGAUUUCCCUCUUUAAACCAGAUUCAUUUUCACACUAUAUAUGCAUGCCCACGACGAGGAAUGAUAAUACACACACACACACACACACCCCUGUUGAUCUCGUUAUGACCUGUUUUCAACUAAAGAAUCUCCACUAGCAUAAUUUUUAUUUUUUACAAGUCAAAAGGAGAAAUAAAAUAUAGAUAAAAUUUAAGAGGGGUAAUUACAAAAAAAUAAAAAAUAAAAAAUACACCAAAAAGACAUCAUUGUAGGUUCUUUCAGUACCUUUCCCAAACAAAAUCAAUGAAUUUGUUACCAGAGGUAAUUCGGUUUUUUCGCUUGUGUCUAUUUUUUAUUAUUAUAUUGAUCGAGAAUAAAUUAAUAUUUUUAUAUUUUUUUAAUUAAUAAAAUAACAUAAUUACUUUUAAAACAAAAAAAAUAUUAAAUUGGCAUCCAAUAGCUUUUUUGUCUCUCAUUUUUUAAAUAGUUAAAUAACUAAAUUAUCCUUCAAAGCAAAAAUUACUAAAUUAGUGUUCAGGGUUUCUUUUUUGUAUUUUCAUCCUUUUUUUUGUUAUAAUCAAGUUGACUAAGAAACAAUUUAGUAAUUUGAUAAAUCUAAACAUUAUUUAAAAAAGUGGUUUGCGCGUGCAUUGCACGUGUCAACAUGUAAGAUGUGGCCUCGAUAUUCGGUUAGUGUGCGAGGGGGCUUUGAAGGCCAAACGGUGGUUUAUGGGGUAGCAUCCAAAAUCUAUUGGCGGCCAUUCCAUUCCUGGACGGCACGUGUGGCAAAUAGACCUUCGGUUUGGUGUCAGCGAUCUUUUUUCUUCUUUUUUCUCUUCUCUUUGAUUUCUGUGCCCGACCCUCUGAAUUUUCAAAGCAACCCUUCAAUUUGUUUCUAUCUUUAUAUUUGGUUUCUAUUCCUUUUAUUACUAUUUAUUUUAUUUAAAAUAAUUUAUAAAAUAUAUUUUUUUAAUUUCACCCCUCUUUAAUUUUUUUAUCUGUCAGAUUUGACUCUCAUUAUUCUGAUUACUAUUUUUUUUAUUUAAGAUAAUUUUUUUUCUUCUUACAAUUUUAUCCUCUAAUUUUUUCCUAUUAAAUUUUUUCCUUAUUUUUUUUCACUUUAGCUAAUUUUUUAAAAUUGAUAUUUUUCUCAAUUUCAUACUUCAACAUUGAAUUAGUUGAAAAUUGAGUUUUUUUUAUUGAGUCUAGGUCUAAGAUUUCAUGGGUUGCGAGUUUGGAAGAUCAACCCAAAUUUAGGAGAUUCACUCGGGUUUACUUAGUCCUCCCCUUUUUUUAAGUUCAUUUUUUUUCAGUUUCAUCAUUAAACAUUUAUUUAAUUGGAGAUUGGACUCUAUUAUUAUUUUUUAUUUGAUUUCUAUAGGAUUUUUUACUGAUUUUGAAAAUAAAUCGGGUUAUCUCAGGUGUUUUUAUUUGUCGUUCUUUGUUAAAUCUUGUUUUUUUAAAAAGAAAUUUUAUUUUUUAAUUAAAUUAAAGUAAUUGAUUAAACAUAGGCGUGAGAUGCUCACUUCAUGAUAUUUUGUUUGUUUUGUUUUUUGAAUCGUUUCUCUUACAACGUGUGCUGCGUCUUUUAGCGUCGCUGAGCAUCCUAUCACAAUGGUGUUAGAACCGUCUCUGUGAGUUUUUUUCAAGUAGUGAGGUGAUGUCGAAGGUAGAGCGACAUUGAAUAUCUAAUGAGCUUUUCCUUUUCUCCUUCCAAAUACAAUAUUGAUAAUUUAUUUUUUAUAGUUAAUUAUUAUUGAUUUUUUUUUUUUUUUUAUUGUCAAGACUUAUUAAAUUCAAUCAAAUCAAUGAUUGAGAUCUUAAUUUUUUUUUAAAAAAAAAUCAGAACCGCCUGAAUAUCUAUCUUUAUAUUAUGAAAAAAUUAACUCGAUUCAUGACGCGGCGCGAGUCACCAAAAUAUUGACCAUCAUAUAGUGUAAACAAAAUAUUCAUGGCAGCAAUUCCUAAAUUAAAAAACCCUGGCAACUGAUUAAAAAAAGAAAAAUUGACCCGCGCUGCUUCUGUCGCCGUCAUGACGGCGCCAUCUGGCAAUCCAAAGUCCAAACAAGACCAUGGCUCAAAACGUUCAAUAAAGAAGCACACACCUAACGGUUGGUAUUAUAAUUAAAUUAAAACCCGAGGUUUAUUCUUAAUCCGCAUUUGAUUAUCUCUCUCUCUCGAUAUGUUUUCUUUUUUCUUUCAGACUCGAUAGAUAAUUAAAUUAAUUGGAAGACCACAUUUCCGAUUCUCUUUCUUAGUUAUUUUCUUCCUAUGUUAUCUUACCUACAUUAUCUCAUGAUGUCUUCUUCCCUGUCUCCUAGGUUUAGGCCCUGAGCUAAAAUCUCAAGUGUUUUUUUAGUCUAAUAAUAAAGUGUUUUUGAAUUAAUUUAUACAUCAAUUAAUAUUAAUUUUUAUUUUUUUUUAAUUUCAAAGAUACGCACCUGCAUAACUUGGUAUAUUUAAAUAAUUUAUUUUGAAUCUAAAAAAAAACCAAUCUCAUUAACCAUUAAUGAACUCUUAAAUGUAAAAUUAGGAAUAAUGAUCUAAAAAGAAAAUGCUUGCCCCUCAAAGCAAGUAUCAAAAUCAUCUCUUAUGAAGUUUAUAAACGAAUGAAAGUUUAAAUUGUUUUUUGAAGUGUUUUUUUAUAUAAAAAUAUAUAAAAAUAAUAUUUUUUUAUUUUUUAAAAAUUAUUUUUGAUAUCAAUGCAUCAAAACAAUUUAAAAUAUAUAAAAAAAUUAAUUUUUUUUUAAAUUUAAAUUUUUACAAAACAUGAAACACAGUUUAAAUGCCAUAUUCACGGAGGAAGCACCGUUCCCGUCAUUCACCGUCAAUUCUAGUAACAGUUAUUAAUCAAUCAAUCUUACAGAUCUCAUGCAAGGCUUCCCUUCUAGAAUUACUCGCGUCACCGUAAUAAAAUUACCUUCCAAUAAAUAAUAAUAAUAAUAAUAAUAAUGAAAAAAGUCUUCAAAGUCUCGAAGCCAUCAGUCCUCGCAUAUACGGUGCUAAAUUUCCAUGGAAAAAGCAUUUUGACAAAUUCGUACAUCUAGAAGGAGCGUGUUUUCACAAUUAAUAUAAUAUUUCAUAACAAGAAGACUUGCUUUUCUUUUUGGGGGUUAAACAAGGAUAUUUCCGGAUUAAUUUUCAUUUAUCUAUAUAAUAAAAAAACAGAAUGGCGAGUGCUCCUAAAACAGGGAAGUAUUUUUUUAUAUAAACCAUCAUGUAAAGAAUAUUUCAACAAUAAAGAUAUUUUUAGGUUAGUUUUCAGCUAUCAAGAUUCAAGACUAAAUCUUUUUCGAUGAAAUUCUAAAUAAAGUAUUUCUGUUUUAAUGGACUCAAGAAGAUAUUUUCUUCAAACUUUGAAUGUCAAAGAAAAAAACCCAAAUUUCUUUAUCAUUUAACUAAAACCUUAAAAAAAUUAUAAAAAAUAAUCUUAAAUUCGUUUGAAAAUGACUUUAAAAAUAAGUUUAGUAUAAAAUUAAUACUUUUAAGAGUCUUGAAUAUUAAUAUAUCAUCAUAAAAAAACACAAAAUAAAUAAAUAAAUAAAACUAAUGCACUUCCAAUUCCACUUUUCCAAAAGCAAUAAAUGAAAAGGUAACUAUUUUCAAAGCAGCAGGGUAGCUAUUGAACCAAAGAGAAAAUAAUAAAUGAAAGAAAAUGAAGAACCAAAGAGAAAAGGUAACUAUUUUCUUUUUUUCGAAGAAAAAAGGUAACAGAGAGUUAAAUGAAAAGAGAAAAAACGAAAGGUAAAAAAACAAAAAAGAGGGAUCUAAUUGAACCAAAGUCUACGUUCAUAGCGUACAAGAUGCGCCAUCUCUCUUCUUCGUUUUCCUGCUGCUUUCCUUCUCCAAGAAAAAAUAAAAGAGAAAAUCCAAUGAAGGAAUAUCUUAAUUUAAUCAAAAAUACCAAUUCAAUGUAAGACUGCCAUCAUACACGUUGACAUUUUUCUCCACUAUCUAUUUAUAAGGAGAAUGGUUUGUUUGAGGACACAAUCCUGUUAACACCUUUGUGUCCUUCAGAGUAAACCACCCUUGUACUCUCUUGCCUUUGUGUUCUUGUUCAAAGGUAGAGAUUACAUAUAAUAAUUCACAUGAUCAUAGCUUCCCUUGUACUCUCUGCUUUUCUCUAAUCCCCUGUCAAUUUUCCUCGAAGUUCUUUGCUUUUCCCUUCUUUUCUUGUUCAAUUUUGAUGCUUGUGUUUUUGGGUUCUUGAAUUCUUAGCUUUUAGGGUUCAAUCACAUCUGGGGUUGGAUAUUACUGUGAAUUCUGCUUCUGGGUAUUCCUGUUUUCAUUCAAAGGAGCUGCAUUUUUAGCAUUCUUAAGUAUAAAGCCAAAAGGUUCUGGUGUUUGUUAGAGAAAGAGAGACAUGGCUGGUGGUGGUAAAAGGAAGAGGUUGAGUCUGAGCAAACUGUACUCGUUUGCAUGUGGAAAGACAUCUUUAAAGGGUGAUCAGUCCCAGAUGGGGGCACCUGGGUUUUCCAGGGUAGUUCACUGCAAUGAACCAGACUGUUUUGAGGCCAAGAUUAGAAGAUAUAGUGGCAACUAUGUUAGUACUACAAAGUACAAUGUUGCUACUUUCUUGCCCAAAUCAUUGUUUGAGCAGUUCAGAAGAGUGGCUAACUUCUAUUUCUUGGUUGUGGGUAUCUUGGCUUUCACCCCUCUUGCACCUUACACAGCUGUCAGUGCUAUUUUCCCCCUUAUUGUUGUUGUUGGAGCUACCAUGGUUAAAGAAGGUAUUGAAGAUUGGAAGAGAGCUCAGCAGGUAUGGUUUUAAUUUUUUAUUUGUUUGCUCAGAUUGGAUAUGUUUAUUGAUUAUGGUUUGAUGUGUUUGUAAUGUCUUCUUGACUUCUCUUAAAGUGAAGUUUCAAAUUACUCUCUACUGAUUGAAUGGUAUUCAUAUGAUUUGAUGAUGAAAUUUUGGGAUUAUUUUUUUAUUUUUUUUUGAUUUUUUUCAUGUUAUUUGCUUGGACAUAUCUGGGAAAUAUUUUGCAUAGAAGUUUAGUAAGGCUUUAGAUGACACCGAUAAACAAGAUGAAAGAUCAGAACUUUAACUCAUUUUUACUGAUUCAUGCAUCUUAUCCUAGACUUUGUGUGACUUAUAAGAAAUAUUGAAACAUCAGAUACAGGAUGAGCCUUCUGCUCUCUCCUAGGGUAAUUUGUGCUACACUAGUUAGCAUCGAAACUCCUGUUCCCAAGAAACAGGACUAUACAAAUUGCAGUCCAGUUGAUAUUGGAUAUGUUUUACCUGCAACUUCUAAAAUGCUUCCGUGUUCUCGUGCAUGCUAUCAGAGAUGUCUGAGUGGCAAAUGAUAAGUAUGCUUGAUCAUCUAUCCUCUAUUGAAAUUUCUCAUAUCUGAUUUGUACUCUUUUCUUUCGGAAUGGAUUCUCAGGAUAUCGAGAUGAACAAUAGAAAAACUAGAGUGCACCAGGGUGAUGGAACUUUCAAAUCUACUGGAUGGAAGAAUCUGAGGGUGGGAGACAUAGUGAAGGUGAAGAAGGAUGAAUACUUUCCAGCAGACCUCCUCUUGCUCUCAUCAACUUUUGAAGAUGGAAUCUGCUAUGUUGAGACCAUGAAUCUAGAUGGAGAAACAAAUUUGAAACUCAAACAGGCAUUGGAGGCAACAGCAUUCAUGCACGAGGACUCUUACUAUAGGGAUUUCAAGGCUCUUAUCAAAUGUGAAGACCCAAAUACAAAUUUGUACUCCUUCGUUGGCACUCUGGACUUUGAACAGAACCUGUAUCCCCUCUCUCCUCAACGGCUUCUCCUCAGAGACUCCAAACUCAGAAAUACAGAGUAUAUAUAUGGGGCAGUUAUCUUCACUGGACAUGACACAAAGGUUAUGCAAAAUUCUACAGCUCCCCCUUCAAAGAGAAGCAAAUUUGAGAAGCAGAUGGAUAAAAUUGUUUACUUCUUAUUCUUUGUUCUAUUUAUGAUGGCAUUUAUUGGAUCUCUUGUUUUCGGAGUUGCAACUGACAAUGACUUGGAUGGAGGGAGGAUGAAAAGGUGGUAUCUCAAACCAGAUGAGUCUACUGUUUACUUUGACCCUAAAAGAGUGGUCUUAGCAUCAAUUUGUCACUUUCUGACUGCUCUCAUGUUGUACAAUUACUUCAUCCCAAUCUCCCUGUACGUGUCAAUUGAAGUCGUCAAAGUUUUUCAGAGCAGUUUCAUCAACAACGAUAUCAAUUUGUACUAUGAGCCAUCUGACAGGCCAGCACAUUCUCGCACCUCAAAUUUGAAUGAGGAACUUGGGCAAGUGGACACGAUACUUUCUGACAAGACUGGAACAUUGACCUGCAAUUCCAUGGAGUUCAUCAAGUGUUCUGUCGCGGGGACUGCUUAUGGCCAUGGGGUUACAGAGGCUGAGCGGGGAAUGGGUGUGAGAGAAGGUGAAAGUGUGAAUGGUUGGGACCAGAGCAAGGAUUCUUCCACUACAAAACCGCACAUUAAAGGUUUCAAUUUUAAAGAUGAAAGGAUUAUGGAUGGGAACUGGGUCCAUGAACCCCAAGCUAACAUCAUUGAAAAUUUUUUCCUCUUGUUGGCAAUCUGUCACACUGCCAUACCUGAUGUGGAUGAAGAAACGGGGAAGAUUUCAUACGAAGCUGAAUCACCAGAUGAAGCAGCAUUUGUGAUUGCUGCAAGAGAAAUUGGUUUUGAAUUCUACAAAAGGACUCAAACAAGCGUUGCAGUGCGUGAGUACAAUCCAAAGACUGGGAAGAAAGUUGAAAGGGUGUAUACAGUUCUGAAUGUUUUGGAGUUUAACAGUGCAAGAAAGCGGAUGUCUGUGAUAGUAAGAAAUGAGGAGGGGAAACUGCUAUUACUUUGUAAAGGUGCUGACAGGUUUGUGAUCAACUACCUUGAAACCCUUGAAAUUGGAAAAUUCCUUGUCUUUUAACCUAUUGCUUAUUAAUUAAAUUUAACCUGUAUCAUAUGCAGUGUCAUGUUUGAAAGGCUUGCUAAGAGUGGAAGGGGGUUUGAAGAGGAGACCAAGAAUCAUGUGAAUGACUAUGCUGAUUCUGGCCUGAGGACCCUAAUACUUGCCUAUCGUGAACUUGCUGAAGAAGAAUACAAAAUUUUUAACCAGAAAUUCACCGAGGCUAAGAAUUCAGUUAGUGCAGAUCGGGAAACAUUGAUUGAUGACAUGGCAGAGAAGAUCGAGAGGAAUCUAGUUCUUCUUGGCGCAACUGCUGUUGAGGAUAAACUCCAAGAAGGGGUGAGUAAGAAAACCUAAAAUGUUCUAAAAUAAACCGGCCUUUUUAGAGAUCUUGAAUUUUUUGUUCUUAUACUGUGUACCCUUUAGGUUCCUGCCUGCAUAGACAAACUUGCUCAAGCUGGAAUUAAGAUGUGGGUUUUGACUGGAGACAAAAUGGAGACUGCCAUAAACAUUGGGUAUGUUGUUUUUUGAAAAAGAGUGUUUGUAUUGACACUUUUAAGAUGAGUGGACAUUUCAUAUUAUACGUGGAGGCAUCUGACUUAAAAUUUUGAAUAUGCAGCUUCUCCUGUUGUUUGCUUAGACAAGGAAUGAAGCAGAUCAUAAUCAAUUUGGAGAAUCCAGAGAUCCUGUCAUUGGAAAAAACAGGAAACAAGGAUGCCAUUACUAAGGUAAAGACUGCUUUAAUUCAUCAAAGAUUUCAGUCCACUUCAGGUUAUUUACCCGUGAUUUAUUUUCCUUUUCUCCUGGUGUCAUCUCGGUUGGGAGAAAGGGUGUUGAAGUCAAAGAUGCACCUUAAUUGUUAUGAAUCUAUAUGUGAUAUUGAUGGUAUAUACAUUCAUUUUCCAGGCAUCAAGGGAAAGUGUUCUUCGUCAAAUAACUGAUGGAACGGCCCUGCUUACUGGACCAAGUGGAACUGCUGAGACAUUUGCAUUGAUAAUUGAUGGAAAAUCACUCGCUUACGCAUUAGAGGAUGACAUGAAACAUUUGUUUCUAGAUCUUGCUAUGAGUUGUGCAUCUGUCAUUUGUUGCCGUUCAUCACCAAAACAGAAAGCACUGGUGGGUUAUUAUUCUUAGUUUUUCACUGCUGUAGGUGCAUGUGUUGUUAGAUAGUAAAGACUUUCUUCUGUACACUUCUCUUGAAAGAAUAAUUGUUUUAAAUGGUAAAAUACAGGUUACAAGACUAGUCAAAUCUGGAACCAGGAAAACAACAUUAGCAAUUGGUGAUGGUGCCAAUGACGUGGGUAUGCUUCAAGAAGCAGAUAUUGGAGUCGGAAUCAGUGGUGUUGAAGGAAUGCAGGUCUUUUCCACAGAACAGCUUACAUCUCAAUUAAUUGUUGAAAAUAUUUCUCUACUUGAUUGUAAUUCUCACCACCUGUUAACCCUAUUUUAUGCUUGUUUUCAACUCAGGCUGCCAUGGCAAGUGAUGUUGCAAUUGCUCAGUUUCGGUAUUUGGAGCGUUUACUACUUGUACAUGGGCAUUGGUGUUACAGGAGGCUCUCAUCUAUGGUAAGGUCAUUCAUAUGUUUGGAUUUGGACAUGGCUUAAUAUUUCAGUAUGGGCAUUAAAUUAACGUCAAUGAUUAUUGAUGAAUGUGAAAUGUCAUCAUGAGUUUUCACCUUUUCAUGAUUAUACUGAUAUAUAUAUAUAUUUUCAUAUGCAGAUAUGCUAUUUCUUCUACAAGAACAUUGCCUUUGGUUUCUCCAUUUGGCUAUAUGAGGCUUAUACAUCAUUUUCUGCACAGUCUGUAUACGGUGAUUGGUUUUUGUCAUUUUAUAAUGUCUUCUUCACGGCUCUUCCAGUUGCCGCUUUGGGUAUCUUUGAACAAGAUGUAUCUGCUGCAAGCUGUCUCAAGGUAUCUCACUCACUCACUUAGCAGACUCAAUUAUGGUCAUUAGAUGGUUAGUAAAGCAAAGUAAACAUCUUGGCCAAAUUUUGAUCAUUUUUUGACUUAUUUCAUAUUUCAGUAUCCUCUACUAUACCAAGAAGGCGUGAAAAAUCUCCUCUUUGGGUGGCGCCGAGUACUUCAUUGGCUGGGUAACGGGUUCUAUACUGCACUAGUCGUUUUCUUCUUCUGCUCAACUGCACUGCAGCACCAAGCCUUCAACCGUGAUGGAAAAACUGUUGGGAUGGAUGUUUUAGGAGGAACCAUGUAUACUUGCAUCGUGUGGGCUGUGAACUUGCAGAUGGCAUUGACUGUUUGUUACUUCACCAAAAUACAGCGUGGCCUAAUUAUAUAUUGUCUUUGUAUGUUGUACAUUUUCUUCGUGGCAUUUGGGUCCCUGUCUCCGUCAAUGUCUGCAAUUGGCUACAAACUCUUUACAGAAGCCCUUGCCCCGGCUGCUUCUUACUGGUUUACAAUCAUAUUUGUGAUAAUCGCAGCACUGUUGCCCUUCUAUGCAUAUUCAGCAAUUGAAACAAGGUUCUUUCCCAUGUACCACCAGAUGAUACAAAGGUUAGAGAGUGGGAAACAUGAAGAUGAUCCUGAGUAUUGUGAUAUGAUGCGACAAAAGUUAUUGCAGCCACCAACAUCAGUAGGUUUUUCAGCACGGUUGGCAGCACGAGCUAAUAAGUUAAGGCGUAAGAAUAAGAAUCAGCCACAAUAAUAGCUGAUUGUUCCUGGAGGGCAUCUGUCAACAUUUCUGGGUUGUGGUUAUCUGCUCAGAAGCUGAACUCUGUCCCAGCUGUAUACGACUUAAUGAGGCUUCUACUUUACCAGAAGGUAUGGCCCUGCAAGUUAAGAGUUUUUGGUGAUUUUUUAUGGAAGCAUCGUUCAGCUGUACCAUAAGUGGAACAGGAGACUUAUGCCAAAAGGAAUUUAAAUUUUGUUUGUUGUAAAAGAAAUGUAAUUUUUAUACCAACUUGUAUUAUUAUUACAAUGUAUUUAGGACACCAUUGAAUUGGUCGUAGAUUUGGAUUGUAUUUGUUGUUUACAAGAAUAAACUCUUCUUUUUCUUAUUGUAACUUGUAGUUCUAUUGAGUUUAUUAUUUUUUAUUACUUCUUAAUAAACUUGGAUUCUUGUUUACUAUUGAUUAUGGAGUAGAGGAAUUUUCGUUUUCUUGUCUUUAAUUCCCUAUGCUUGAUGAAUUUGUUGAAUCUCCUGAAGCACACAACGGAUAUCUAGCUUGUAACUGCAGUUAAAUGUUAAAACAGCAGGCGGCCAAACGCCCUCUCAUUCUUAGCUGAACAUUCAUUGAUUGGAACUUGAAAUUCUCGGCUAUAAUGUUCUUUCUCUUUUCCUUUUUGGUAAUCUUGGCCAUAACGUUGUUUCCUUGGCAGAAUAAAUGUCAAUAUAAUUGUUUGUUCUUUACCUGGGAAACACCAGAGAGGGAACUGAUAAGUGAACUUCCUUAUUGCCCUGGUUUGAUUUCUAAAUGAGUUAGUUGCACAAAAGCUUUAGCCCUAAUCUCAGUGGUUUCAGGUUGAAUUUUAAAUGAGUCAAUUUGAUCUAUAAUUGUGUUGCCCUUUACUGCAAGUUCCCAUUCCAUCUCUCACCCACAGUUAGCAUCCGUAUCUGAGUUUGCUCUUGCCAAGCCAGAUUAAUCCAAUUCUGCAGAAUUCUUUGUAAGGAUCACAGAACAGAAUAUUGAUUUACGUACGACCAUAAUUUGCAGCACACAUUUUGUUUUGUUACUGCAAAAAUAUACUGAGCCAGGAUUAAGUGAAUGGUUAAUCCAUUAGUUGAUGCAUAGAAAUGGCUGUAUCUGGAUGGAUCUGUAGAUGAUAUCGCCUCAAUUAUGAUAGGGAAAAUAGAGUUACUCAUACAAUGAGUUCUUCACAUAAAUGCAACUGGCCAUCAUCAGUAAUUGCAAGAAACUGAAGUUCAUGCAAAAACAUCUUACAUUGCCAUAACCAUGAUCUUAUUCUUAGCAAUCCAAUUACACGGAUUAACAACUACCCUUUUUCCAUUGAAUCAUUGCAUCCAGUUUUCAUGCAUUCAGAGGCCAAAUUGCUUUCUCAAAUGCAGACCGUUGGCCUUGAAUGAUAUGGCAGCCGGUUUCCUAACUUCCAUAGAUUGGUGAUGCCACCAGUAAUGUCAUGUAGCAGAAAAAUUAGUAAUGAAAAUCUUGGACUGGUAGAUAAAAUGUCGUUUUCAUGUUAUUUAUUUAUGUCGACAAUUCCAACCACUACAAUAAAUAUAACAUUAUGCAAUCUACAAGUUGUGUUAACAUGUUUCAAGUGGGAUUCAGGUCUCUCCUCCUUCCAUCUUGUUUACAGGUAUCCCAUGACCAGAUCUUAAAAGAAUUACAUCUACACACAAGAAAUUACGAGAAAGAUGAUAGAAAAAAAUAAGUGAAAGGAAAAGGUCAUCGGAUCAUGCCAAACCAUCAAUGAUAUUGCAGAUCGCCAGAUCCCCAUCAGAGAACAAAAUGCUAAUGACAUAUUAAUGGAUAUUGCAGAUCCCCGCGACGUCCAUGUCCAUGUAUUAACAAGACCAUACCCAUCAUCGAUCAGGCUCUAUGGAACUUUGAUGCCAAGAAAAUCAGCAGCAGAUUUUGCCAUGACGUUUGCAAACUCAUUAAAACUCAAAACACCAUCUCCAUUGGUGUCAGCCUCUCUCAUCAUAUCUGAUAGCUCACGAUACGUCAAAGGGUGUCCCAUUUUAGCCAUUGAUCCUGCAAGCUCAGCAGCAGUAAUGAAUCCAUUGCCAUCCCUGUCAAAUGAUCGAAAAACCUCCAACAACUGCUCCUGGUUGAUCAAUACUUCUUCAUUCAUAUCAGGCAAUAUAGCACUGACCAGCUCAUCAAACUCAACAUAACCAUUUCCAUUAGCAUCCAUGUUUGAUAACAGAACAUGAAGUUGAUCACCUGUAGGUUUGAGGCCAAGAGAACGUAGAAGCGCAGCGAGCUCCAGCUGCGUGAGGCUGCCAUCGGAAUCCAUGUCGAAGCGAAUGAAGAUGUCCUUGAGCUGCUUGAGCUGAUCGGUCUGAAGGGUUGCCAUCAUGUCUGGAUGGAAAUGGAGGAGGUGAAAGGAAAGGAAAUUAAAGGAAAGGAAUGGUUUUUUUUCUUUUUUUUUGUAUCUGUAUUUUGGCUGGUUAAGGAUGCGGGGCUAAUUGAGUGUUGUUCUUUUCAACUGGAAUGGUUCAACCAAAACCGCGUUAUAUCAUUGCCGUGUUAUGUGGGGGGUAAAAACGAGCAAAGGAAUUACGCAGUCAAGUUUCUGAAAUAUUCUCUGUGAACGUUGGGGCAUGUGGGUUCGCGGUGGCGUUGCCUUAUUUUUUUCAAAACUCCAUGUUUGCUAUUUUUGUGCUCUAUUUUGAUCUUUCUCAGGACAUAGUUGUCUUAGAAAGAAUUAUUACAAGAAAGUAUCUGGAACAGAAUAAUGGUACUUUUUGUACAUUCAUCUAAAAACCUUGACACCGGCUUUGAAGGGCGUUGAGUUCUCUUUUCAUACUCUAUUCAUUAUUAUAAAAUUAAUCGAGAAUAAAUAAAUAUUUUUUUAAUUUAGAUUGCACAAUAAAAAAAACUAUGAUAUAGCAAAAUAAAAAGAAUAUGGCAUGAAAGAAUAUUUCAAAAUAAUUUUUUUUAUUAUAAUUUAAACUUAUAGAAAAUUUUUAUUUGAUCAAAUAUAAAAAAUAAUGAACAAUUAAAAUGUAUAGUAAAAUAAUAAAAAUAUUCUUAAAAUAAAAUAGAAAUUGAAUGAUUUUUGAAGGUUUAGUAUCGAUAGUAAAAUAUUUUAAUUAAUUUAAUACAUUUAUGUGAAUAAAAUUAGAAUGAAUCAUCAUUAAUUGUGAAUGUUUUUAAUUUAAUAUGUAUCUUAUAGUAUUUAACAUAUAUGUUUAUUUUAUGUUUACGUUUAAAUAUAUCAUAUUAAUACGUUUGAUUUUGAUCCAUAAAAAAUACACUUAAUCAUAGAAAAUAUUAAAGGGCUUAAUUUUAAUUAGUGGGUCUAUAGAAAAAAUCACAAAACAACUAUUAAUUAUUGAAAUAAAUAAAUUUUAAUAAAAUAUUAAAUAAUGGGAAAAAAACAAAUUAAAAAAAAAAAGGAAAGUGGGGUCAGGGUGUGACAACAGGGCUCGCGUGCUUCGUCGGCUGGAUGUGCAUGGCCUCGGCGUUAAAAAAAUCAAGAAUAGAGGUGAACAGCGUGUCAUCAGCAACAGGUGGAACUUUUGAUGACUGUUUCGUCGAAAAAUCGGCAGCCGCUAGUUUUGACCUCAAAAGUCAAAACCCAAUUUCUAUACUAUUUUUACCUUUAAAUCAUCCCAUCAAUAUUUAAAAACUAUUUUUAAACCUCAAAAUAUAUUUUUAAUCAACUCUAAGAACUCAAAAAUUAUGAUUCUCUCCUCCCUUCUCUCUCAUUGAUUCUCCCCUCAUUCUACAUACACGGGCCUCAUGUUAACACUAAUAAAUUUUGGGGACCAUUCUAUAUAAACCUUGAGCACUGAGGACCAGAAUGAAUUCACAUUUGUAAGAAAUUACUUUAAUUUUAAUUUAAUUUAAUUUUUGUAUAAGGAUGUUGUUUUUUUAGCACCAUAGCUAGCCUAUUCAUAGCUGCAGUGCAACCCUUCAUUAUCUUUUAGUUAAUUAUUUUAAUUUAAUUAAUAAUAAUGUAAUUUAAUUUAGUCAAUAAAUAAUAUUUACAGAGGAGGCAAAAAGAAAGAUAAUUUCUUGUGAAAGCAUUGGCAAGUUUGGAGGGCUGAUAAAACUCCAAUGAAGAGAGAUUUAAAUACUGUCAGGGGAUUUGUCUAGAAAUUAUUUUUAUUUAAAAAUAUAUUAAAAUAAUAUUUUUUUAAUUUAUUUUUAACAUCAGAUUAUCAAAACAAUCUAAAAUUAUUUUGAAAUUUAAAAAACUCAAAAACAUUUAAAAAUGAAUAGUAACUUGGAUGACACGGGAAGGUUAGUUUUUGAAUGGAUUGGCCUUGGGAGCAUGAAGGUUUGAAAGUUAUCGCUUCUGUUGAAUGUUCAAAUUGAGGAGAGAAUUCAGUGGUUGACUAGUGAAAACCAUUCAGGGUGUGAAAUCAAAAUUGAGUUUGCUAAUAAAACCAAUAAUUAAUCAAACCCAUCUGAAAAGAUUCUCAUCCUCCCCCAGAAUCCACAAUGCUAAUCGUUGAAAAUUAUCGCAUUACACAUUAAACAAUGAAUGCAGCGUUGAACAUUCUUAGAAAAUCACCAUAUUCGUCCUCCCAGACCAGUAUACACAGGAGGGGAGUGAAAUUAUAUCGUUGGAUCUAUCUAAAUUCUUUUCAUUGUUUUAUUUAAACCCAGUAAACGUAAGAUAGGUGUCAUCAUUGUACAGAUGCCUGCUCUCUUGACUCCCUCUGGGAUUGAUUGGCAUGUUAAAAGCAAAAUAUGCUAUUGGUGAGAGCACCAUAUGGAAUUUUGAUUAUGGAUAUGUUCAUAAAUUGGCAAUAAUAAUGGUGUGUUUUCAUUCUUCCAAAACUCUAGCUCCUCCUGACGCUUCAAAACAUGGGAUAGAAGCCAUUGUCACGAGCUGAGAUCAAUCAGCCCAGAUUUCGAGUCUUUCAGUGGCUUUCUUUAUUUAACACUUCAUUUGAUCCCGAUCACUGCUUGUGACACACACUAUAACUAGUCACAUCGGCACCACCCUGUACCGGUGCAAUCAUCAUUUGCUACAGAUGUAUAACUGGAUAUAUUCACACCAUUCAUUCUUCAUUACUUUGUUAUCCACGAGAAAAAGAAUGUAAACUGUUUGGCAUGCAACCAGGAAUACAAGAGAAAAUGGUAAGAGUCAACUGAGAGUGACACGACUCUUACAUGCUUCAAGAUGAAUGAACAAAAUUGAAUCGAGAUUUUAUUAACACAAAAAAUACUGUUCAGAACAAAAAUUUGCAGGCGCUAAUUACAAGAAGAAAGAAUUACAGCACCUGUGACAUGGGAAAAUUAUAAUAACCUAGCUACCAGUAUCAAGGGCUUGAAAUCCAAUCCCUACAGGAGACAGUUCAUUUCAGAGACCAUCCUGUACAUCGUGAGCUUGUAUAUGUUCCAUCUCAAAAUUCAUGAAUCCUACUGUUCAUAGAUGAAUUUAUCUCUAACACUAUUUACCAUGUGCUCUUUAAUUAUCCAGGCUAUAACAAUCUAUACUGUAAUUUUGACUACCAAAUGCCAUCCUUCGAAACAGUCUAAUUUCUUCAGAUUGUUGUGCAGAGUUGAAUAGCUCACUUUCUCCCACUCUCAUUCCGUUGGUUAGAUCUGCUAUCGCUAAAGUAUCAAAAGCUCUAACAACCUGAGAAGCAUAGGCAGGCUUAGAGAAAUGCACCUAACAUCUCCAAAUCUGGACUUUUAAUGGAGAAGCAAGAAUUUUCAGCUAGUUCAGUGAUCAAAUUGCAAUUACCUGUCCCAUCCGUGGCCUCUUAGAAGCUGAAUGCCGCACACAGGCCGCAGCAGCCUCAAUCAUCCGGAACAUUUCGCUUUCAAUGUAGUUCUUUUCAAGCCUUGGAUCUGCCAAACUUUCAAGUUCCUCAUUUUCUAGUGCAUGAUUUAGCAAAGGUCGAGCCUGGAAGAAAGGUAAGAAAAGUUUCAGCAUGAAAUUGUGGAAAAUCAAAUACCAGUUCAACACUUCUAUUUCUUUCAACAUGUGCAUUUUUUAGUUUUCUUUCUAUACAUUCCAAAAAAAAAUUACUGGAAAGAGAACAAAAGAAAACUACAAACAGCAGGAUUAUGUAUUCUCCACCACAAGGUACAGAGAAGAGGAAACAACAUCAAGACAUAACAUUGUUUCACCUCUGUACAUUUGUUUCAUUGGUUACACACUUUUUUUUUUAUUCUUGCACUGAGGAAUAUCAUAAUUAUGCAUUGAAUUUAAAUCAAGGUUCAGUAAGAUUAGUCCUAGAUCUGGGAAGGCUUUUAAUUUUCCAUGUACUGAGUUAUUUUCUUCAGUAUAAAAUCUAUAUAUGAUUAGAGGCCACAGGCCACGAAAUCAAUGGAGCUCCAGAAAACUCAACAGAACCCCGAUCCCCCACCCUGCAUACACCAAGGAAUAACAUCCACUCAAUAAGCAAAUCUUCCAAACAACCUAUUUCUAAAAUAAGCACACCUGUUCCUGAAUCAAACCACUAUGGGAAUAUAUAAGAAGUUCAGAACAGGUCUUGUAGCCUUUUUACCGAUUCUAUCCACAAUUCAAAUGUGAGAAACUAGUAGUGUUUCGAGCAGAAGGUAACCAUGUUUCUAUUACCCUUGUAACUAAUUUUCUAACAAAUGUAGCAACUUCAGAAACAUCUUCUCAUAUCAAAACUAAGCAGUGAGAAGAAAAACAUAUAACAGAAAGCAUAAAAAAUUACACGACUCAAACUAAGCUGUAUCGAUAUAACCAGAAACUUCAGGAUAAAUGAUCUAAUUGAAUUUAUCAUUUAUGCAUGCUGAAAUAGAAGGCAAAUCUUUAGAAUAGAUCUGCUCAGCAGACGAGGGUUGCUAAGAAUAAGGUCCACAAAGAGUAAUUGAUCCAUCAAUAAAACUGUCAUUCAAAUCCUUAUUACUAGCAACUAGGUUAUUGGAUCUGGAUGUAUCUUAAUGCAUGCUCCAGUUAACAAUCAACAAUUCGUGAAAAUUGAAUGAGUCUAUCGUCCAGAAGCAGAAUGCUAGCCAGGGUGCAUAAACUACUUACCCAUUCAACAAGACUCUCCUCUCCCAUGGGCUGGGAUGCAUCCACAGGCUUCCGUCCAGUGAUUAGCUCCAAAAGCACAACUCCAUAUGAGAAUACAUCAGAUUUCUCUGUUAAUUUGCCGCUUGAUGCAUAUUCAGGGGCCAUGUAUCUGAGUGAUCAAUUAAACAUUAGAUGCACAUAGACAUGGCUGAUAUAUGUUCAUUGCACAGGAAAAGAAAACCAAAUACAGCUGUACUUUGAAAAUAGUAUUCCCAUCAACUCCCGACUGCCCAAAAGGGCUGAAACCCUCCCUGCUCACACAAAAAAGGGCAGAGAGAGAAUAGGGGUGCCCCUCAGUGGCCCUGUAGUGGCAGGUAUUUAAGCAAAUAAUAGAUGAUCUCUUACCCAAAGGUUCCCAUAACACGAGUUGUUACAUGAGUGUUUGAAUCAAGAGCUAAUUUGGCAAGCCCAAAGUCUGAAACCUGCAAAUUAAAAUCUAGAAACAGUUAAACCACAAUCUAAUUGAAACUAAUCAUAAACAAAUGUUAAAAGGGAAAAUUGUGCAUACCUUAGCUUCAUAGUUGUUAUCUAAGAGAAUAUUUGACGACUUAAUAUCCCUGUGAAUAAUCCGAGGAUGACCUGAACAAAUAAUAGUAAAUCAAAUGAAUAACACCUCCACCAUAUGUAGUCUAAUAAGGAAACCCAUUCAUUAUUUUAGCGUUAAGGAAAUAGCGCACCUAUCAAUGAACAUUAUAUGGCUGGAGUUCUUAUUAACAUGUUCUUAACUCUAGAUCAUCAGUAGUACCAAAAUUGAUAUUUUCAUACUAAUCUUGAUUGAGGUAGAAUUCUGUAUGUGCUUUAAGGAUGAGAAUAUUGUGAAAUUGCAUUCGGUUAUUAGAUCCUUGUUUUUUAUUACUGAAAGUUGGAUCAUAACUUUUGAAAAUGAAGAGUGGGUACGGAUGGAUGGCUUAACCUUUCAAUAACAAGAAUAGGGAAAAGGAAAGCAGUUGCCAAGUGUUGAAAAAGAACAAAAAACAGGUGAAUAAUGUCUUGAGUUAAUUUUGGAAGUGAAUGUGAACAUUAUCUAGCUAAUAAAAUCCAGAUUUGAAAUACUUACAGUCUUCAUGGAGAUAAGCUAUUCCCCGAGCUGCUCCAGCAGCAAUCUUAACACGUGUUGCCCAAUCCAGAGCCAGCCCACCCACCCCUACAGAAAGAAAGACCAACAAGCAUGACUGAUGAUCAUUUUUAUGAACUGACAUGCCAAAUCUCAUCUAUAAGUUGUAGCUUUACCGUGAAGAUGGAAAUAAAGGGUAUUGUUAGGGACAUAAUCAUAUACGAGCAAUCUUCGGGUCUCACAUAUGCAGUAGCCCACAAGAGAAACCAAAUGGCGGUGGUGUACGCGACUAAUAAUCUCAACUUCAGCUUUAAAUUCUCGCUCACCUUGCCCUCCACCAAUUUUUAGCUGUUUCACUGCCACAUCUCUCCCAUCUGGAAGGUAACCUUUGUAUACAGAACCAAAUCCACCUUCUCCCAAAAGGUUUUGGGAUGAAAACCCAUUUGUCGCCUUGACUAGCUCUUCAAACGCAAACAAAGGCCUUGAAUUACCUAAUCCGCUUGAUUCAGUUGGCAAAGAAACACAAUCACUGCUAGAACCACUUGCAAUUAGGGGAGCCGUAGAAUGAGUCUUUGUGAAAGUUGAACCUGAGGGGGCAAAUUUGAAAAACUUCAGAGUUCUUGUCAACAAUCUCAUUCAAAGUGCUUAGCAGCAAUCUCAUUAAAUGCAAGUUUGCUAAGAAUAGAUUACCUUCUUAGUAGGAGAAAUCAGAAUAGAUUAACCAAUUAUCUGUAUUUUUAUAAGAUCCAAACCAUAUGAUUUAGUUUUGCCAUUUUUAUUUGUUAAAGAAAAUAUGCUCUCGAACAUUUGAUUGUAUAUCAGAUGCAGUUCAAUUGGCAAAAGUUAAAUCAAAUUAUGAGAAUAAACACCAACCGAAGUUUUGGGACCCUCUUGGCAGAAUUCCGAAUAGCGUUACCUAGUGACUAGGAGUGGUACUAUUGAGAAAAGUCAUAACAAGCUAAAGAAGCAAAGGUGAAAUGCUGUUUAAAAUAAACACCUGAUCUUGGAGAAGAGCCCAAAGAAGAUGGCAUAACAUAAACACCAUUGAGUCCAGAAAUCUCUUUUCGCCGCCUCCUCAUGCACCAGAGAGCCAGUCCAACAAGGCUGAGCAUUAUAAUUCCUAUUGCUGCACCAAUAGCCACCAUACCUCCAGUACCGAUGCCCCCAUUACCUGUGGAGUUUGAACUUCCAGGUGAAUUAGGGGCGGUAUUGUUCGUGGGUGAUGGCGGGGAAACAAGUGCGCGUGGAGGCGGAGCCAAUCUUAUUUUUGGCGGUGACAAUGCUGGUGGAUUGGAAUCUGAUGGGACAGGUGUUGCUUGAGGAGAAGUUGGAGGAGUAAGCCUAGGAGGUGGGGGCACAUUACUGGGACGAGGGGCUAUUGAAAUUGGUGGACGUGGUGAAUUCUCAGGUGGAGUUGAUGCUGGUGGUGGAGGUGAUCUUCGAGGAGGUGGCAAGGAUGCUGGUGGGGGGGUCGGAGGAGGUGGUGGUGGUGAAUUUUGAGGUGGCCUAGAUGAGGGUUGUGAUGGAGGUGAACUCUGAGGUGGCGGUGUUGAUGGUGGUGGAGGUGAACUCUGAGGUGGCAGAGAUGGUGGUGGAGGUGAACUCUGAGGUGGCGGUGAUGAUG
rnacentral:lncRNA from 1 species